UUUGAGUGUUGAUUUUGUCCA
ensembl:piRNA 21ur-4050 ncRNA